rnacentral:rRNA from 1 species
UACGUAGGGGGCAAGCGUUGUCCGGAAUCAUUGGGCGUAAAGCGCGUGUAGGCGGCUCGAUAAGUCUGCUGUGAAAGUCCAGGGCUCAACCCUGGAAUGCCGGUGGAAACUGUCGAGCUAGAGUCCGGAAGAGGCGAGUGGAAUUCCUGGUGUAGCGGUGAAAUGCGCAGAUAUCAGGAGGAACACCAAUUGCGAAGGCAGCUCGCUGGGACGUUACUGACGCUGAGACGCGAAAGCGUGGGGAGCAAACAGG